rnacentral:rRNA from 1 species
GACGUAGGGCGCGAGCGUUGUCCGGAUUUAUUGGGCGUAAAGAGCUCGUAGGCGGCUCGUUGCGUCGGCUGUGAAAACCCGCAGCUCAACUGUGGGCUUGCAGCCGAUACGGGCGGGCUUGAGUUCGGUGAGGGGAGACUGGAAUUCCUGGUGUAGCGGUGAAAUGCGCAGAUAUCAGGAGGAACACCGGUGGCGAAGGCGGGUCUCUGGGCAACAACUGACGCUGGAGGAGCGAAAGCGUGGGGAGCGAACAGG